rnacentral:rRNA from 1 species
UACAGAGGGUGCAAGCGUUAAUCGGAGUUACUGGGCGUAAAGGGCGCGUAGGCGGUUGUAUAAGUGAGAUGUGAAAGCCCUGGGCUUAACCUAGGAAUUGCAUCUUAUACUGUAUGACUAGAGUACUGUAGAGGGUAGUGGAAUUUCCGGUGUAGCGGUGAAAUGCGUAGAUAUCGGGAGGAACACCUGUGGCGAAAGCGGCUCACUGGACCACAACUGACGCUGAGGCGCGAAAGCUAGGGGAGCAAACAGG